UACGUAGGGAGCAAGCGUUGUUCGGAUUUACUGGGCGUAAAGGGCGCGUAGGCGGCGCGGUAAGUCACUUGUGAAAUCUCUGAGCUUAACUCAGAACGGCCAAGUGAUACUGCAGUGCUAGAGUGCAGAAAGGCAAUCGGAAUUCUUGGUAUAGCGGUGAAAUGCGUAGAUAUCAAGAGGAACACCGGUGGCGAAGGCGGCAUCCUGGACCACGACUGACGCUGAGUGAGCGAAAGCCAGGGGAGCAAACGGG
rnacentral:rRNA from 1 species